CUACAUGAAAAAAAAAACUGGUUUCACUUUCAAGCAGAUGUAAUUUACCUUAAAUAAUUGUAUCUCAAUCUCUAAAUUGAACUUUAAUCACAUAGAGGAGGCUCUUGCAGGGUCUAGCAAGCUAUUAACAUAGCAGGGGAUAAGAAAAUCUUAAUUAAACAAAACUUGCAAUAAAGGAAGCCUAAAUAGGGCUCUCUUUACAGGAAGUGUUUAUGGAAGGCUGUGCAAGUCACAUGCAGGGAGGUGUGACUAGGGUUCAUAAACAAGGAGAUUUAACUCCUAAAUGGCAGAGGAUUGAGCAGUGGGGCUGCAGAGGCAUGUUCUAUACACCAAAACUGCUUCAUUAAGCUAAAGUUGUUCAGGUGACUAGAGUGUCCCUUUAAUAUGGAGGAAAUAUUGACCCUAUAAACUUUUUGUUUGUUUGUUUGUUUGUUUUUUACUAUUUAUGUGGCAGCUGGCUAGUAAGCACACUGCCUCACACAGUGUUAUCCCUCUCACUAUACUUGAAAACCUAAUUUAGGUGAUCACUCUCAAUCUGAAGUAAAACACUUAUAAAUGUGGAUUCCUGGAAAUACUUCCAAGUGUAAUAAAAUACAGUAAAGCAGACAACCAUAAGUGUAGUACUCAAAUAAUCAUGAAAAGUCUUGCUACCGGGUCCAAUAAACCUUGGGUGAUGAUAUUUCCUGUCUGAUUUUUGUCUUCCCUUCCACGGCCGAUUGCAUGCUCCAGCAGGCCAGACACUCCCCCUUCCCUCCUGCUUGCCUUGCGCAGAGAAGAGCAGGGCUGAAACUGGAGGAAGGGCAGCUCAUCUUAAAGGACCACUAUAGGCACCCAGACCACUACAGCUUAAUGAAGUGGUCUGGGUGCCAGGUCCAUCUAGGAUUAACCCUUUCUGCUGUAAACAUAGCAGUUUCAGAGAAACUGCUAUGUUUACAAAUGGGUUAAUCCAGCCUCUAGUGGCUGUCUCAUUGGCAGCUGCUAGAGGCGCUACUCUCUGUGAUUUUCAC